UACGAAGGGGGCUAGCGUUGUUCGGAAUUACUGGGCGUAAAGCGCACGUAGGCGGAUUGUUAAGUCAGAGGUGAAAAUCCCGGAGCUCAACUUCGGAACUGCCUUUGAUACUGGCAAUCUAGAGUCCGGAAGAGGUUAGUGGAAUUCCCAGUGUAGAGGUGAAAUUCGUAGAUAUUGGGAAGAACACCAGUGGCGAAGGCGGCUAACUGGUCCGGUACUGACGCUGAGGUGCGAAAGCGUGGGGAGCAAACAGG
rnacentral:rRNA from 1 species